GCGAAUGCCAUUGAACAUGUUCAUUUGAAAGUCAAGGUGGGAUUGUGGGCAGUACUAUUCAUGAGUGCAAUAGCGCCCUUAGUGUGAGAUGGCUUGAUCUUUGUGUUUUUGUGUCUAAGGUUCAUGCUUUGUACCUUAAACUACACAUAAUUAAGGAUAAAAAAUAAUGUGAGAAAUUAGUUAUUUUUCUAUCAAAUUUUGUCUUAUCGAGAAUAUAUUCCUCUUCGAUAUAUCUUAAGCUUUAAAAUAAUGUGGUUUAAAAUGGUACCGUGUCACAUAAAUGUCUUAAGUUGAAGUCCUUAGAUACCAAUUGACGUAGCGGAAGGUUAUAGGAAAGAUAAACAAAUCUCACAAGAUAG
rnacentral:lncRNA from 1 species